UUUUUUUUUGGUAGUACUGGAAUUACUACUUAGCUACAUCCCCAACCCUUUCUAUUUUUAAUUUCGAGAGGCCCAAGCCUCCCAAGUUGUUGGGAUUGAGAGCUGAAAACAAGAGGAAUUAAAUACAACCUGUGCUAAAGAAAGUUCACAAGAAUUUGGUUGUCAGUAUGUCCCUGGGCUUACAGAAUGGCCCAAACCCCAGUUACCACCAACCCAUCUCCCUGGAAGAGACACUAGGAGUGGGACACAAGUCACCGGCUUCCUCAGCCUGAGUGUGCUGUGGAAGGGGGUAGGGAACACACUUCCCAUCCACCCCCAGCCCAAAUGGAGGAGGCUUGGAGACAAUCUUGUAGAGACUGGGGAUGUCCACAGUAGGAUGUCCAUAACUCUGUGGCUGAGUUGUCAAUAUCCACCCUGGAGCUACUAUUGAAGCAGAAUGGGGUGUACUGAAGGAGUACUUGGGGGAACCUAAAGGUAUCAUGAGCCGUCAGUGGGCUAUGUGUGGAUUGUUUCUAAUUGGGAACUCCCUGUGGCACCCCCCAUGGUUUUGACCACCUGAUGCGGAUGAACUUCCCCCUCAAGCUCUGCCAAAGAUCCCACACUUCACCUGAGAUGGGUGUGACCUGCCAAGCUGUCAAUCAACCUGUUGACUGCAAGACACCAUGAAGCAAGACUCCGCCCUUAAAACCUUACCCUUGCCUUUGAUAUACCCCCUUAAAUAAACCUCUAGAGCCAUCUUGUCUUUGUCUAGUUCCAGAGCCCAUGUGGACUACAUCUAUCAGGGGCUUCGUAUUCUGUAAAUGUAUUUUGAAUAUUCGUGCUUUGUUAUGUGCUAAUUAUCUGAGAUUGUAAGUUUUAGGUGGCUUGGAUGGUCCUGGGUAGAAGAACCCCCGCAGUGAGAUACUGGCCAUCUUCCCCCUGAAAUAAAGGUGAAGGUUGGACUCAAUCAAAGGAGUUAGUGUUACUUUACUUCAAGAAGUGGGGAGAGUAGUUGUUAGGUCAGUUUGAGGUGGUUGAGGAACAAAGCACCAAGCAACCCAAGUGUGUGAAAGAACCACCAAUCCGGUGCCAAC
rnacentral:lncRNA from 1 species